AUGGGAAGUCGCCGGCCAUCCUGCGACACCCGUCGCAUGGACGGGAGGGAGCGGCCGCUGGUAGGCGGAGGGGCAGCGUGGGAUCCUGGAUCCGACGGCGGGGCGUCACGUGGGCGGUGCCGUGUCCUGGAUCUGGCAGCGGGACAUCGCAAAGGGCCGCCAUGGCCUGGAUCCAGCGGCGGGGCGUCGCGAGGGGCCGCCGUGGCCUGGAUCCGGCGACGGGGCGUGCCGUCCAGUGAUGAAGCCAGAUGCAGGCAGGGGCGUGGUGGCACGUGGGGGGGAGGAGGAGCAGGGGGCGCCGUGGUGGUCGCCGUAUGCAGGAGCGGUGGUGGCCGAGGGAGGAAGAAGGGCGACGCUGGUGGCGGGUGGAGAUGGGGGAAGGGGAGAGGAAGGUGA
rnacentral:rRNA from 1 species